UGGGGAAUAUUGCACAAUGGGCGCAAGCCUGAUGCAGCCAUGCCGCGUGUAUGAAGAAGGCCUUCGGGUUGUAAAGCACUUUCAGCGGGGAGGAAGGCGAUAAGGUUAAUAACCUUGUCGAUUGACGUUACCCGCAGAAGAAGCACCGGCUAACUCCGUGCCAGCAGCCGCGGUAAUACGGAGGGUGCAAGCGUUAAUCGGAAUUACUGGGCGUAAAGCGCACGCAGGCGGUCUGUCAAGUCGGAUGUGAAAUCCCCGGGCUCAACCUGGGAACUGCAUUCGAAACUGGCAGGCUAGAGUCUUGUAGAGGGGGGUAGAAUUCCAGGUGUGGCGGUGAAAUGCGUAGAGAUCUGGAGGAAUACCGGUGGCGAAGGCGGCCCCCUGGACAAAGACUGACGCUCAGGUGCGAAAGCGUGGGGAGCAAACAGG
rnacentral:rRNA from 1 species